UACGUAGGGUGCGAGCGUUAAUCGGAAUUACUGGGCGUAAAGCGUGCGCAGGCGGUUUUGUAAGCCAGUUGUGAAAUCCCCGGGCUCAACCUGGGAACUGCAUUUGUGACUGCAAGGCUAGAGUACGGUAGAGGGGGAUGGAAUUCCGCGUGUAGCAGUGAAAUGCGUAGAUAUGCGGAGGAACACCGAUGGCGAAGGCAAUCCCCUGGGCCUGCACUGACGCUCAUGCACGAAAGCGUGGGGAGCAAACAGG
rnacentral:rRNA from 1 species